rnacentral:sRNA from 1 species
GAAAAGAAAACUCAGUAGAAGAUAAUGGCAAGUCCAGACUGGGGAUAUGAUGACAAAAAUG